rnacentral:miRNA from 1 species
CAGUUACAUUAAAAUUUCAGUUAGACAAUGAAAAAAAUUUUAGUAUAAGUAUAUCCCAUGCAACACUUGGGAUAUACUUAUACUAAAGUAAUCUUUUUGUCUGAAAUUUAAAUUUAACU